rnacentral:hammerhead_ribozyme from 1 species
CUACUGAGGAGUCCCAUAAUAGGACGAAACGGCCGUCCAG